UCUUCUCCGCGACUGUCAUUCGUGCACGCAUUGGUGCCCACGGCGGGCAAACAACACGACGACCACCAACCGCCUUCGUUGUAAGCCGACCAUAUUAGCCAACCGCACGUACAUUCUUUACGUCUUUGCCUUUUGUUUUCUGUGUUUCACUCACACCCAUCCAUUACUAACCCGUGGCUAUCAAAGAGCGGCGCGUUCGUGCGCGUGUGUGCGUGCCACUCACCCCCUCUCCCCCUGUCCUCUUACGGCGGCUUAUAUAUAUAGGCGUGUCCUCUCUCUCUGCUGCUGCGGCGGCGGCGACUUCCACUAAGCAGUGAGAAGGCCGGAGUGCGCGCACGCGUCUGUGCCGCGCCUGUUUCGCCGGCAUCACUGUUGCUCAGCCAAAACGGUGUGCCGCGAAACGUUGUUUUCUCUGCUCCAUCUUUCUUGGUCUAUCAGCCUCUCAACUCAUAUAUAGCACAACACUCUCUCUUGCGUGGCGCUCUUGCGGCUCUCCUUCACCUCCUGUCGGCGGUGCGCUGCGCGACGGCAGCCUCGACCCGUGCUACCGCAGCCGCUCGGUCUCACCAAUAUUGUGGCUGUCACCAUCUUCCACCUCCCCCGCGAGUGCCCUUCGCUAAGCGCCCCCUCUCCUCCCACACAUACGCGCUAUACUUUCCUCUCUCCGUGUAUUGGCCACUGCAGGUCUUGGCUAGGUGCUGCAGCUAAAAGACGGAGGGUGGCAGGGGCCAGAGCUGCCAAGCAUGCUGGUGCACACAGCGCAGUCGUCUCCAGGUGGCUAUGUGGAGGGGUAUGGGAGCAGUACCGACACGGCUACGCCACCUGUGGCUGCUGCGCGGCAUGAUGCCAAGCUUAGGCCCGCCAAGACAGCUGGCGCAGACGGCGGUCGCCGCGACUAUAACGCUGACACGCUCUAUGCGAAUCCCGAAAUAACAGCCUUGGCCUCCUCCGUGGCGACGACGGUGGCCAAGUCGCUGCUGCACCCACUCGACACUCUCAAGUGUCGAGUGCAGCUACUGCGCACCGACGUGCCUGAGCCGCCGCCGUGCCAGAGUUAUCAGAGCUGCACCGGCAAGCAGUCACCCGGUCUGCUGCGCAGUCGUUUGCGACAGCUUCGGUACCAGUACGCUGGUCAGUGGACGCCGGGGCACAUCUACGGCGGGCUGCCGGUGAAACUCCUCUUCUACGUUCCCUACCAGGCCACGUACGUAUCGAGCUACAACUUUGCGCAGCGCACGCUGGAGGCGGCUGGCAGGGAAGGCGAGGAUGCGGCGUGCCGUCACUCCAAAAACUACGUGUGGCACACCGUGGCCUCGGCGGUCUUCGCUGAGGCGGUGAGCGCCGGGCUGCGGGUGCCGAUGGAAACCAUGAAGAUGCGUAUUCAGUCUGCUGCCGCCUCCGGCUCCCUGCACGCGCUGCGGCAGCUGUGGCGACAGGGUCUCGCUUCCUGCGUGCGCCUCGCCGUGCCACAGACCCUCAUGCACGACAUACCGUACUCUAUCAUCCAGUGGGUGGUGUACGAGACCCUGCGGCCGUGGACCCAGCAGUGGAAGGAGCGCGCGGUGCAGCAGGGACGUGGCGCGGAGCUGGCGGCAACGUCGGCGGCGCCGAAGAGCUUCUGGACUCUCUAUGGAGCGGAGCUGGCGCGUACCUUCCUUUCUGGCGGUUUCAGCGGCCUCUUGGCGUCUGUCCUGACAGCACCGCUGGACAACAUCCGCACGCGCGUUGUGGUGGCCACGGCACGCGAUUGCCAUCUGACUGUCGCGGAUGUGGUGCGAGACGCCUAUCAGCGCGAGGGCAUGCGUGGCUUCGUGCGUGGCGGCGGCAUGCGUGUGCUGUGGGUCACGGCGAACAUGGCGUGCUACUUCCCUCUCUUCGAAGGUGUGCGCUCGCUGUUGCAGCGGUGCGGAAAUGGAAGCAACGACCCCGGCACAUCUGCGUGAUGCGCAAGGAGCAUGCUCGCACACGAGCGGCAGAGGAGCACUGUAAGCUAUGCGCUCACGCAAGCUGCCCCCUCCACGCCCCUUGCUGCCGUCAACGCGCGUGCGCGGUGCAUCAGGCCUCUGUGUCUUUUCGGUCUCUCCCUCUCGGGAGUAGAGCCUCAAC
rnacentral:misc_RNA from 1 species